rnacentral:misc_RNA from 1 species
UAUCGAUAAGUGAAACCGGAGUGGGUU